rfam:Lactonifactor longoviformis DSM 17459 genome assembly, contig: EJ64DRAFT_scaffold00003.3
AGAGGCAGAGAUAAAAACACAGUCCCGGUAGGUAGUCCGGGCGCAGCGGCGGAUAUUCAUAAAAGCGCUGUCAGUAACCUUCCUCCUUAGGUCGUCCGUUCUUUGCCGUGAAUUU